GCGACCCCAGGAUAGGCGAGGCCA
rnacentral:rRNA from 1 species